AAGUCUGACGGAGCACGCCGCGUGAGCGAUGAAGGCCUUCGGGUCGUAAAGCUCUGUUGUUAGGGAAGAACAAGUACCGUUCGAAUAGGGCGGUACCUUGCCGGUACCUAACCAAAAACCCACGGCUAACUACUUGCCACCACCCCCGGUAUUACUUAGGUGGCAACCGUUGUCCGAAAUUAUGGGGCGUAAAGCGCCCCCAGGCGGUUCCUUAAUUCUGAUGUGAAAGCCCACGGUUCACCCGGGAAGGGCCAUUGAAAACGGGGGAAUUUGAUUGCAAAAAAGGAAAGGGAAUUUCCCCGUGUACCGGGAAAAUGCGUAAAAAUGUGAAGAAACCCCAGGGGCAAAGGCGGUUUUCUGGUCUGUAACUGACCCUAAGGCCCAAAAC
rnacentral:rRNA from 1 species